rnacentral:rRNA from 1 species
UACGGGGGGGGCAAGCGUUGUUCGGAAUUACUGGGCGUAAAGGGCUCGUAGGCGGCCAACUAAGUCAGACGUGAAAUCCCCAGGCUCAACCCAGGAACUGCGUCCGAUACUGGAAGGCCUGAAUCCGGGAGAGGGAUGCGGAAUUCCAGGUGUAGCGGUGAAAUGCGUAGAUAUCAGGAAGAACACCCGUGGCGAAGGCGGCUCUCUGGGACGGUACUGACGCUGAGACGCGAAAGCGUGGGGAGCGAACAGG